rnacentral:rRNA from 1 species
UACGGAGGGUGCAAGCGUUAUCCGGAUUCACUGGGUUUAAAGGGUGCGUAGGUGGGCAAGUAAGUCAGUGGUGAAAUCUCCGGGCUUAACCCGGAAACUGCCAUUGAUACUAUUUGUCUUGAAUACUGUGGAGGUCAGCGGAAUAUGUCAUGUAGCGGUGAAAUGCUUAGAUAAUGACAUAGAACACCAAUUGCGAAGGCAGCUGGCUACACAAAUAUUGACACUGAGGCACGAAAAGCGUGGGGGAUCAAAACAGG